CCUACGGGUGGCACCAGUGGGGAAUAUUGCACAAUGGGGGAAACCCUGAUGCAGCAACGCCGCGUGGAGGAUGACGCAUUUCGGUGUGUAAACUCCUUUUAUAAGGGAAGAUAAUGACGGUACCUUAUGAAUAAGCACCGGCUAACUCCGUGCCAGCAGCCGCGGUAAUACGGAGGGUGCAAGCGUUACUCGGAAUCACUGGGCGUAAAGGAUGCGUAGGCUGUAAUAUAAGUCAGAAGUGAAAUCCAACGGCUUAACCGUUGAACUGCUUUUGAAACUGUUUUACUAGAAUAUGGGAGAGGUAGAUGGAAUUGGUGGUGUAGGGGUAAAAUCCGUAGAUAUCACCAGGAAUACCGAUUGCGAAGGCGAUCUACUGGAACAUUAUUGACGCUGAGGCAUGAAAGCGUGGGGAGCAAACAGGAUUAGAUACCCUAGUAGUC
rnacentral:rRNA from 1 species